rnacentral:rRNA from 1 species
GACGAACGCUGGCGGCGUGCUUAACACAUGCAAGUCGAGCGAUGAAGUUUCUUCGGAAAUGGAUUAGCGGCGAACGGGUGAGGAACACGUGAAGAAUCUGCCCUCCACUUUGGGAUAACACCGGGAAACCGGUGCUAAUACCGAAUAUUGAAACAUAAGUGGCAUCACUGAGUUUUGAAAGAAUUUCGGUGGAGGAUGACUUCGCGGCCUAUCAGCUAGUUGGUGAGGUAAUGGCUCACCAAGGCAACGACGGGUAGCCGGCCUGAGAGGGCGACCGGCCACACUGGGACUGAGACACGGCCCAGACUCCUACGGGAGGCAGCAGUGGGGAAUAUUGGGCAAUGGAGGAAACUCUGACCCAGCGACGCCGCGUGCGGGAUGAAGGCCUUCGGGUUGUAAACCGCUUUCAGUAGGGAAGAAGCGAAAGUGACGGUACCUACAAAAGAAGCACCGGCUAACUAUGUGCCAGCAGCUGCGGUAAUACAUAGGGUGCAAGCGUUGUCCGGAAUUAUUGGGCGUAAAGAGCUCGUAGGUCGUUUGUUACGUCGGAUGUGAAAACCUGAGGCUCAACCUCAGGCCUGCAUUCGAUACGGGCAAACUAGGGUUUGGUAGGGGAGACUGGAAUUCCUGGUGUAGCGGUGGAAUGCGCAGAUAUCAGGAGGAACACCAAUGGCGAAGGCAGGUCUCUGGGCCAAUACUGACACUGAGGAGCGAAAGUCUGGGGAGCGAACAGGAUUAGAUACCCUGGUAGUCCAGACCGUAAACGGUGGGCACUAGUUGUGGGAACCUUCCACGGUUUCUGCGACGCAGCUAACGCAUUAAGUGCCCCGCCUGGGGAGUACGAUCGCAAGAUUA